rnacentral:rRNA from 1 species
UACGUAGGGUGCGAGCGUUGUCCGGAAUUAUUGGGCGUAAAGAGCUCGUAGGCGGUUUGUCGCGUCGAAUGUGAAAACCCGGGGCUCAACCCCGGGCCUGCAUUCGAUACGGGCAGACUAGAGGUAGGCAGGGGAGAGCGGAACUCCUGGUGUAGCGGUGGAAUGCGCAGAUAUCAGGAAGAACACCGGUGGCGAAGGCGGCUCUCUGGGCCUUACCUGACGCUGAGGAGCGAAAGCGUGGGUAGCGAACAGG